CAUUAAUUGAAAAAGCUUCAAGCUUUGAUUGCUCAACGGAUCAAUGGAGUUGGAAGACCCGCGAUUCUUUCGCCGCGACGAAGUCGAAUGUUUCCUCCGUCCCGGAAAGCUAAUCCUAACCAGUGACAAAAGCUAAUCCUAAUCUUAUGGAAUGGUGAUGGAGGUGGGAGGGAUAUUGAGGAAAAAGCAAGAACAGUGACAAGAGCUUGCUGGAUCCUUUUCAGGACUUGAAUGCUCUCUUAUGAGUAAGGCUAAGGAGAUGGUGAGUCUGGAUGAUGAAGAGAUGCAACAAUGGAUGGUGAAAUCUGCUCUGCUGGCGCAUCAACAACUGUUCCGCCAGUUGACAGAUUUUGUCAGAAUCCCAUUGGAACAAGCUGGGGGAGUGGCCUUACUGAUAUGUAUUACCACUUCAAUCAUGCUCGUGAGACAGGAGUUGAUAUCUCCAGAUGAUUUGUGCCAAGCUUGUACCCUCUGGGAGAAAUUUGAUGUAUAAUGCAGCGGAAAUUUGAUGGCAGUGUGAUGGUCAUACAAAACAAGUCCCAUAGCAACGAGGAGAAUCAGAAUGCUUGUGACUAAAACGAUGGAAACUCUAACAACAACAGUAGUCACAGCUAGUGAUGCAGCUUUAACACAGAAAAUCGCUCCAGCCAUGGCCAAGGAACAUCUACUAACCGCUGAUAACAAAGGUUUGCUGUGUAGAGGGACGGGCUUAGAAUCUAUUUCAACUUGUUUUCAGAGAUCGAUCUGACCAAUCUCCAUUUAGUCGAGGACUUUGGGACGUAGGUGAAUGGGUCGAAUCGACUAGUUUGUUGUCACUUUAGUGCUGUUCGUUUGGUUCCUGCAGGUUCCUGCGGCUGCGGCAAUGUUUUUUAAAAUUGUUGUUCGUUUGAUUGCCGCAAGUGCUUGCGUCUAACCGCCGCGUCUGACGCCACUUCCUGCGAUUGACGCCGUGAAAUUCCGCGGUCGCGACGUAAAUGAUGCGGCUAGAAGGUCAAAUUUACAUUUUUACCCUUAACAUCUUUCAAUAUCUACAAAUAAACCUAGUCCUAAUUAGAGGCAGCCGCAUCUCUUCCCUUUCCCAUUGAAGCAGCCGCAACUCUGCUUGAGCUCUCUUCUCCCGAUUCACACCACCACUACGCUCUCUCAUCUCCAUCUCUCUCUCUCUCUCUCUCUCUCUCUCUCUCUCUCUCUCUCCAUUUCUC